ACGGGUGUAGCUCAAUUGGCAGAGCACUGGAUUCCAAAUCCAGCGGUUGGGGGUUCAAGUCCCUCCGCCCGUGCCU
rnacentral:tRNA from 1 species